AGUACAAAUGAUGUUUCUUAAAGCGAUCAAAGCCUGAAUGUCUGUGAUUGCACUUCAUUUUCACUGAUGUACU
rnacentral:snoRNA from 1 species